rnacentral:lncRNA from 1 species
GCCGGACAGCAAGGCGUUCGGCGUGGGCGUGGCCUACCGCAGCCUGGGCCGCUUCGAGCAACUGGGCAAGACGGCCGCCUCCUGGUGCCUGCACGUCAACAAUUGGCUGCAGGUCAGCUUCACGGCCAAGCACGCCAACAAGGUCAAGGUGCUGGACGCCCCCGUGCCCGACUGCCUGGGCCUCCUGUCCUUCUACAAUGCCCGCACCAAACAAGUGCUGCACACUUUCAAGACCAGGUUCACACAGCCGCUGCUGCCUGCUUUCACGGUAUGGUGUGGCAGCUUCCAGGUGACGACAGGCCUGCAGGUCCCCAGUGCUGUGCGCUGCCUGCAAAAGCGAGGCAGUGCUACCAGCAGCUCCAACACCAGCCUCACCUAGGCCCCCAGGCACCCACCCAGCU